rnacentral:rRNA from 1 species
CCCUUAGAUGUUCUGGGCUGCACGCGCGCUACACUGAUGAAGGCAGCGAGUAAUGACCUUGGUCGAUAGGCCUGGGUAAUCUUGUGAAACUUCAUCGUGCUGGGGAUAGACCUUUGCAAUUAUGGGUCUUCAACGAGGAAUUCCUAGUAAACGCAAGUCAUCAGCUUGCAUUGAUUACGUCCCUGCCCUUUGUACACACCGCCCGUCGCACCUACCGAUUGAAUGGUCCGGUGAAAUCUCGGGACGGCGGCUUGGUCGCUUGCGUCCGACUGCUGAAACUUGAUUAAACCAUAUCAUUUAGAGGAAGGUGAAGUCGUAACA